AUACCCCUGAUAAUGCUGACUUUUAUCACUCUACAGUUAUCUAGUUAUAAAUACUGUAAUGAAGAAUUUAAUUUUUUUCACUCUAAAAUAAAUUGUUCAAUUACUGGCAUCUAUCACUUCCUAAGAGCUAUAAAUUAUUACUACACUAACAAAAGAACAGAACAAGAAAGGUUCCUAACACAUCAACUUUCACUAUGGAGAAAGAAUUGGGAAUGAGAAUUCUAGGAAGAAAUGGGAACCUUCAAAGGAUGUAUGUAAUGGGACACAGAUGGGGUUAACAAAACAAAGGCUGAGGAGUUUUUCUCUGCAAUUCUAAGCUCACAACGAGAGGAUACUAAAAAUAUACUGUAACCUUCUUUCUUAUGUAACUCCUGAUUUCCUCAAUAUAAUUCAUUUGCGUUUUUACAUAUAAAACACCAAAACGGAAUAUAAACUGAAGCCUUACUUUUUAAAUUCACAUAUUUAAUUGUGACAUAUCAUGUGUAUUUCGUCACUUACAAAUUCCAUUCUACGGAAUUCCAUUUCCCUACUCAUUUAUUCACAUCCAAAAACUAUGACAUUGCUUCUUCCAAGCAAGACUUUAUUCUAGGAGCUCCAGGAGUCAAACAAAAAACUCAAAUAUUUGUCUCAAGAAGAGGGGAUAUCACCACAUCUAAGGAGCUGCCUGACUAGAUCUUGCUUAUUAUGUAUAAAGCGUGACACCAUGGCCAUA